GGAGGCCUGGAAACGAACCGAGGAGCAGGCUGAGCUGGUCAGCUUGGUUUGGCCUGCCUCUACCUUCCACCCAUCUCCACCUAUCCACAUCUUACCAGCAUCCACCUCCCUCCCCCAUCUCCAGUCUUCCUUCCUCACCUGAGAGAGGAAUCAAGUUCUUGGAAAGUAGUGCUCUAUUCUGGGGCUAGAAGCCAACUCCCUGUGAAGGCCCCCUGUUGAGCUCCGACAAAGGUGUUGGAUUCAUAGCUCACACAGAAAAGGCCUCUAUUUCACUAGUAGGGAAACUGAGGCCAGGCGGUGAAAUGACUGGCCCAGACUCCUAACCUACUGUUUGGAACCAGAGGGGUGACAAAGCCUCACUUUGAAGCUGGCUGGGAUCUGCCCUUUUCUAACUGUAGCUGAGGGACCCUGAGGGAGAAACGCAGCGCAUGGAGACUCAGUUUCAAAUCUGUAAAGUGGGCAGAUACGGAGACAAUAUCCUAUUUAGUGCACGGUAAGCACGCAGUCACGCUUAUUUUUCACCUUUGCACGAGGCUGCUGACAGCCUGCCAGUCUCUCCCACAGCGGGUGCCAAGUUUCUGCCUCCUCUUCCCUGGCUGCCGCCCUCCCCACCCCAGCGAUGAGUCUUCAGUCGGGCUGGUUACUCACCACGCGGCGGGCACAUGCUGAGCGGGCACUGGGCGGACACUGGGCUGGAGCUGGAUCCGGACGGUGGACGCAGCAGGCAGCUUCCACCUUGUGGGCCGACAGGACUACUCUAGCUCCAGCCAUCACACCUGCAUUUCAACUGUUGGGAAGGGGAUAAGUGGAAAGGGAGAGCAUACUUCUUUCCCUCAAGCUGUGCUUGAUGGAAACAUCUGUUCUUCAGGUAAAAGCCAAGAAGAACCAGUUUUAGACUGGUGUCUGAUUUGCUGAAGAGCUUGGAAGGUACCAGAGGAGAUUCAUGUCGAAAUCCCAUCUCCUGUUCUCCAAUCUUACUUUCUAUGAAGACAAAACUUUGAAGACAAACUGAGUUUCCACAGGAAUAAUCACACAGAAGGACAGACCACUGCUAAUUUAGGUAGCUGGCGAUGCAGGGGUGUUGCCUCCUCUCCAGCAUGUCAGCCCAACUUCCUUUCAGUCUCUGCUGUCCAAGACCCGGUCUAGCUAGUUCAAACUCAUCUUCUCACCAAAUUCCAAGGCUAUUAAAGAUUCAAGGACAGGGCUCAGUUGGUUAAGCAUCCAACUCUUGAUUUCAGCUCAGGUCAUGAUCUCACCGUUCAUGAGUUCAAGCCCCAUGCUGGGCUCUGCACUGACAGUGCGGAGCCUGCUUGGGAUUCUCUC